GGGAGAGGAGUUAGAGAGAGGAGAAGAGGGCGAGGACCUAGGCGAGAGAGAUGAGAUACAAGCGAGAAAUCCCUAUAACUUGAUGCCAGAAGCUCAAGAAGUUGUUAUGCGUGAGGGUCGUCAACCGUUGUUGAGCCAGUCUGGACAUUGAGCCCACUUGCCAAAGCAGUUCCGAAUUCAGAUUACCCAUUUGUUCCUAUCAACAUGAAUGUUACUGAUAUCUCGAUGUAUCCUACUGUCCAGAAAAGUGAAGAUAUCAAGGAUCUUUCAGAAUCUGCAACUCUUUAUGUUUCUAUGUUGAAGUCGCGGAGGUUCCUAACCAUGUGCCUUCGCCUCCUAAGAAAAUAGAGAUUGUUUGUGGCUUGUAUGCCGCUAGUGCCCAAAAAAUCAAACAUGGCGACCAAGAAGACUAAGGGGCUGUUUGUUUCACCAUCUGUCAUCUCCAUCCAAAUGAUUCAUUUGUAUGAUCUAUUCAAAUGAUCCAUUUAGAUUUUUGUGAUUGUUUGUUUGUCCAUCCACAUAGCUCAUCUAGAUGAAUCAUCUAAAUGGAUCUUAUGUUUGUUUCUUUAUUUUCAUUUCCAUUCAAAUGAAUUUAAUAAACAAAUUACCAAAAUA
rnacentral:lncRNA from 1 species